CUGCGUUUCCCUUGCCUGCUCGCGGACCGACCCCAGUCCCCUUUUCUCCUCUCCCCCGUCCUUUAAAAACCUCCCACGUGGCGUGCCCAUGGGGUGGUUGAAAACACACGCUCCUCUGGGUUAAAGUCAGAUGGAAAGCAGAGGCCGGAUCUGUGUGCUGGUUUGUGAAUUCAAACCCUCUGACACAGGAAGGGACCCUCCCUGGCUGUGGAUACCAGGCAGGGUAACACGCCUGAAGACUAAGUAAGGACACGCAGGGCUCGAAUGCUAGGCCUCUUCCCCCCCGGGCCGAGUGGACUGAGAUGGCUGAAGAGGAUGGGCUGAUCAACAACAUCAAUAAGUUGGCGCAGCCUGACCAAGAGGCGAUCCUGCCCCUGCAGGCCAGGCCUGCGGGCCACUGUCCCUGAGAAGAGGACCAUCAGGCAGAUGGCUAUGCCGUGCAUGGUGCCGGGACGGGGUCUCGCAGGCGCCGGGAGAGCCAGACCUCGGGCUGCCCUUCCACCUCGACCUGACUGUGAGCAGGCUGCCAGCAGGGCUGCGUAUUUAUUCAUCCUUCAGGAGAGCUAACGCCCUCCCAUCGCCGCCUGGAAAUCUUCGUCGAGUGGAUGAAGAUGGAAUUCCACGCAAGCGGAAAGUUGUGCAGGCGGCCCCUUAGCAUCCGCACCGGCGGAGAGCACCUCGCGGGAGAGCACCUCGCGG